AUUGAACGCUGGCGGCAGGCCUAACACAUGCAAGUCGAGCGGAUGAAGGGAGCUUGCUCCUGGAUUCAGCGGCGGACGGGUGAGUAAUGCCUAGGAAUCUGCCUGGUAGUGGGGGAUAACGUCCGAAAACGGGCGCUAAUACCGCAUACGUCCUAAGGGAGAAAGUGGGGGAUCUUCGGACCUCACGCUAUCAGAUGAGCCUAGGUCGGAUUAGCUAGUUGGUGGGGUAAAGGCCUACCAAGGCGACGAUCCGUAACUGGUCUGAGAGGAUGAUCAGUCACACUGGAACUGAGACACGGUCCAGACUCCUACGGGAGGCAGCAGUGGGGAAUAUUGGACAAUGGGCGAAAGCCUGAUCCAGCCAUGCCGCGUGUGUGAAGAAGGUCUUCGGAUUGUAAAGCACUUUAAGUUGGGAGGAAGGGCAGUAAGUUAAUACCUUGCUGUUUUGACGUUACCAACAGAAUAAGCACCGGCUAACUUCGUG
rnacentral:rRNA from 1 species